rnacentral:rRNA from 1 species
UACGUAGGGGGCUAGCGUUGUCCGGAAUCAUUGGGCGUAAAGAGCGUGUAGGCGGUCCGGUAAGUCCGCUGUGAAAGUCGGGGGGCUCAACCCUCGAAUGCCGGUGGAUACUGUCGGGCUAGAGUGCGGAAGAGGCGAGUGGAAUUCCUGGUGUAGCGGUGAAAUGCGCAGAUAUCAGGAGGAACACCCGUGGCGAAAGCGGCUCUCUGGGACGGUAC